GGAAUCUUGCGCAAUGGGCGAAAGCCUGACGCAGCGACGCCGCGUGAGGGAUGAAGGCCUUCGGGUUGUAAACCUCUUUCAGCAGGGACGAAGCGAAAGUGACGGUACCUGCAGAAGAAGCCCCGGCCAACUACGUGCCAGCAGCCGCGGUAAUACGUAGGGGGCAAGCGUUGUCCGGAUUUAUUGGGCGUAAAGAGCUCGUAGGCGGCUCUUCGCGUCGGAUGUGAAAGCUAAGGGCUCAACCCUUGGACGCCAUUCGAUACGGGAGAGCUAGAGGUAGGUAGGGGAGAUUGGAAUUCCUGGUGUAGCGGUGAAAUGCGCAGAUAUCAGGAGGAACACCGGUGGCGAAGGCGGAUCUCUGGGCCUUACCUGACGCUGAGGAGCGAAAGCUGGGGGAGCGAACAGGA
rnacentral:misc_RNA from 1 species